rnacentral:lncRNA from 1 species
CCCAAAUCAAGCAACAUUCUACAUAACAACUGUCCUGUAACUUUCAAAAAUGUCAAAGUUAUGAAAGUCGAGGAAAGAAUGAGGAACUAUUCCCUUGAUUGAAGGAGACUAAAGAGAUGCGACAACUUAAUUCAGAUUGGAUCAUUAAACUAUAACGGACGUUACUGAGACAAAUGAUGAAAUUUGAUAGGCUGCUGAAAACCAGAUGGUGAUGGAAAAACUAAGAGCUAAGAGAGAAGUGAAGAACUAAGAGAAGGAAAGUCGUUUGCUUGAAAUCAUACAGCAAUUUGGAGACAGAGUCAUGAAUAAACAUUCUGUUCAGCAGAUGCCCUUUUACAGACUGCCUCAGCAGCUGAAAGCACACAAUGGAACAGUGUGCUUUUCAGCAAAUAGAGUGAGCAAUGGAAAAUGCAGAGCAUCGACCCUGAAAGCAAGCAAUGGCAUGCUGAAUGCAAUUCCAAAUGAAGAGAAGCUGCUGAUUUUCACUGAAACGGAAUGAAGUCCUCUGGGAAGGAUUGUUCGACACCAUUUCUGGGUGCCGGUUUUCAUAAAGCUAGGGCACAAAGACUCGGCACGCCCCCUGUUGGACUUAGCUGGCAUUUAGUAAGAAAAGGAACAGGAGAGAAACUUGUUGAUACAAAUAUUUCUUGGACACAGUAGGCAAGGGGAGGGCGCUUUCUGCAAAAUUCUGUUCAGGAAGCAUCAAAUGAGUCAGAGAUGUAUUCACUAAGCUAUCCCUGGGACAUAAUUUGACUCAUCCACAAAUACUGACAUUCCUUUUUGAAGAAUAGGAAAACUUUCCUAAUGAGAAAGCCAGAAUAGUAUGGAUUUAAUUCCUUUUAGCAAAAACAAGUCAGCCAGUAAAACUCCUCUUCAGCAUUCCUCCCCACCAAGUGAUGUUUAAGUUGUAAUCUCUAAAUGUCCACUGAUAGAGAACUGGUUAAGUAAAUACAGUACAUCCAUACAUUGGAACAAAAGGCAGCUCUACAGGUAGUGUUAUGAAACAGUCCCACGAGUAUUAGUAACCGAAAAAAAGCGAAGUUCUGAGCAAUAUAUAUAUAUUUGACCAUAUGUGCAGAGACUUUCUAUAGAAGUUUCCACAAAAAGUAGAAACAAUUCUUUUCUCCUGGGAGAGAAAUUAGUUGCCACAGACUAGGGUAGAAAGAAAACUUCUCACUGUAUUUCUCUGUGUGCUAUUUGAAAUUUGUAUCUUGUAUGUCACCUGUAAAAAUAAUCUAAUCAAAUUUUAAAAAAUAAUCUUAUGAAUGUCC